rnacentral:lncRNA from 1 species
GAAAGAGCAGUACUAAUGAGCAGUACUAUUAAACUAGCUUAAAACUCCUUACAGCUCUCAGCAUUCACCACAUCCUCAGACUUAAAACUAAUGAGACUUUUACAGUUUUUGGAGCUCUUUGCAUUUUGAAAAGCUCAUUAAUAAGUUACCAACAAAUAAGCUAGUUUAAAAUAAAGCUCAUUAAUUUUACAUGGGUUGUCUCCGCGCGCGGAUCGACUCAAGUCGUUUUUAUUCUAUCCUUCAACUUCUUCAUGUGGAUUUCCUCAAAUACCUCAUUAUGAGUAACUAGUCUUCCUUUAGCCUUUUCCUGAAAAAUAAACAAUAUCUUAAGAAAUGAUAUAUUCCCUAUAUAUUCCCAAUUACAUCUGGAAAGAACUUAAUCAUCUUCGUUAUUCUUCUUCCUAUCUCUGCCAUUAUAUUCGCUCUUUAACGUGCCAAUUCAUAAAUGCACAUAAGUUAACCAAAAGAUUACUUUUUGGAUAGAAUAGACUUUUCAACGAAAGAGAAGUGGGUGAAAAGUUGAAAAAUAAUGUUCAGAGAAAAGAUGUACAAUGUACUAGUCCCCUAAGCAGUACAUCACUAUUUUGAUCAUUUUCAUAUAUUUUCACACGGCACACCUGCUCCUUAUAUACCUAAUUACUGUUUUAAUAUUUCUCCUUUUAAUGCUUAAUAAGUACUAUCUUAGGCAAAAGCACUUCCUAAGCACUAUCCGUUUCUGGUUAAAUUAACUCGUGCUGCAUAAUCAGAAGAGCUUGAAGGGAAAAAGGAUAACUAGAAAAACUAAUUUCGAACAUUCGAAGCAAUAGAAUAUCUUGGUUUACAUAUCUAAAAUACGAAAUGACCAGUAGUCAUGCUGAUUAUAGGUUUGACGAAUACACUUUACUGAGAGUACAUCUGAUCUAAGUAAAGAAAACCAAAUUUAAAUUUAAAAAUCAGCCUUUUCACAAACAAUGAACUUACUCCAUAAUGCCAAAUCACCCAUCACUUAAUUCACACACACACAAGACACAAAUCUCAAAACCCCGCAUGCUCUAACAAUAGAUAUCUAUUUCAUAAAUAAAAAAGAAAAAACUUACAGUACAACAUACUUUUUCAACAUUAUUAGAUGUCAAGCUAAAUAUAUCAACAACUACUCAGAUUAUAACAUGUUAACUGAGAACUUACUCACAUAUGCGUAGAUAGGAGAUAUGAAGUAUAUUACUCUGAAUGAUAGUCGAAAACUUUGCCAUGACUGGCGUAACAUAGUACUGCUGGAUCCUGAAGACUGUAAGCCCCUUUCUAGGUGAGUUGAUGUCUUCUGUUAUAACGAUUAAAGUUUAUUAAAGUAUAUAUCGAGGUUUGAAACAGUAUAAAAUUAAGAGAACAACAUUAAUUUUUUAAACCUAGGGUUUAAAACAGUAUAAAAUCCCUAAAAUUCGAAGUCUUUUGGGGGAAAUCAAAACGAAAAAAGGAGAUCGGGUGAGUGAGUGAGAGAGAGAGAGGUCGACUUACCUGGGAAUGGAAACUCGUCUCUGCGUGGAGUGAGAGAGACGAAAAAUUUUAUUUUGAGUCUCAUACAACUGAUACUAGUUGUAUGAGCAACUUUUUUGUCUCACAGUUUUAUGGACCCAGAUUUCUGUAGACCAGAAGUAUAUUGGGGUCCACAAAUUUGUAAGACAAAAAUGAGUCUCAUACAACUAGUAUAAGUUGUAUGAGACACAAUAAAUCUUCUCGAGAGAAACAGA